rnacentral:rRNA from 1 species
GACGAACGCUGGCGGCGUGCUUAACACAUGCAAGUCGAACGGAAAGGCCCUGCUUUUGUGGGGUGCUCGAGUGGCGAACGGGUGAGUAACACGUGAGUAACCUGCCCUUGACUUUGGGAUAACUUCAGGAAACUGGGGCUAAUACCGGAUAGGAGCUCCUGCUGCAUGGUGGGGGUUGGAAAGUUUCGGCGGUUGGGGAUGGACUCGCGGCUUAUCAGCUUGUUGGUGGGGUAGUGGCUUACCAAGGCUUUGACGGGUAGCCGGCCUGAGAGGGUGACCGGCCACAUUGGGACUGAGAUACGGCCCAGACUCCUACGGGAAGCAGCAGUGGGGAAUAUUGCACAAUGGGCGGAAGCCUGAUGCAGCAACGCCGCGUGCGGGAUGACGGCCUUCGGGUUGUAAACCGCUUUCGCCUGUGACGAAGCGUGAGUGACGGUAAUGGGUAAAGAAGCAUCGGCUAACUACGUG